CGCUCCGGUGGCCUAGUGGUUAGAGCGUCCGCCUUUGAUGCGGGAGGUCGUGGCUACGAUCCCCAGUCGAGUUA